rnacentral:rRNA from 1 species
GAUGAACGCUGGCGGCGUGCCUAAUACAUGCAAGUCGAGCCAACAGACGAGGAGCUUGCUCCUCUGACGUUAGCGGCGGACGGGUGAGUAACACGUGGAUAACCUACCUAUAAGACUGGGAUAACUUCGGGAAACCGGAGCUAAUACCGGAUAAUAUAUUGAACCGCAUGGUUCAAUAGUGAAAGACGGUUUUGCUGUCACUUAUAGAUGGAUCCGCGCCGCAUUAGCUAGUUGGUAAGGUAACGGCUUACCAAGGCAACGAUGCGUAGCCGACCUGAGAGGGUAAUCGGCCACACUGGAACUGAGACACGGUCCAGACUCCUACGGGAGGCAGCAGUAGGGAAUCUUCCGCAAUGGGCGAAAGCCUGACGGAGCAACGCCGCGUGAGUGAUGAAGGUCUUCGGAUCGUAAAACUCUGUUAUUAGGGAAGAACAAAUGUGUAAGUAACUAUGCACGUCUUGACGGUACCUAAUCAGAAAGCCACGGCUAACUACGUG